GUAAACACUUCUUAUAUAUAUUAAAUAUGGCGACGGUCUUAUCGGAUUACGAAUGACGGCAGGAUAUUGUUAUAAAUAAUCAAAAUAUUAGAUAACGGUGAAAGAAUUAUACAUUGUUUUGUUGCGCUAUUUUAUAAAAGAUAUAUUCCAGAUGGAGAGACCGAUGAUGUCUGAACAAUCUGCUCAAAUACACACGGAAACUGUUUUAGAAACAGAUACUACAGAUUCUGGAUCUCAGGAUGUGCCAACAGUUCGAUUACGACUUAGAAAGCCAAGAUCAAAUAAGAGGGUUCAGUGGACUCAAGGGACAGUGGAUAAUGAACAUAUGAAUAAAAAGAAAUCAAAAUGUUGUUGUAUUUAUGAAAAGUCUCGAACUUUUGGUGAAAGCAGUUCUGAAGACAGUGAUGACGAAUGUGAACAUUGCCAUGGACAUAAAGAUGCUCAUAAAAAGAUUAUGCAACACAAUGCGGAAUCGUCUAAGGAAGAGAUGUCUCCAACUCCUGAAUCAAUAGUAAAUGCGUCUAUAUAAAUGUGUUCGGUGAUAUAAAUAAUUUUCAUAAUUGAAAAAAUAUACUUAUGAUUUAAAAAUCAAUGUUGUAUAGAAAAGAAAUAUGAAGAAUAGGAAAUUUGAAUUAUCAGUGGAAUCACUGCAAUUUUAAAUGCAGUUAUGUUAUUAGUAUUUAUGCUAUUGGCAUUGAUAUUUUUGAAUAAGUAUUGAAAGUUUGACUUACAAUACUUAUAUUCUUAAUAAUAAAAUAUUGGUAGGGCAUAUUGUUAUUGCUAAAAACAGAAAGAAGGAAAAUAUAGAAUUUUAUUAUUUAUGAAAUGAAUCUCUAUUACACUAUCUAAUACUUAUACAGUAUAUUGAAUGAAAAUAAAUUUAUUAAUUAUAAUGAUCACUGAAUAACUCAAUACGUAUAUUGUACACAUAUACGUACAUAUUUUGUUGAAUGUAAUAGAAGUAAUUAUAGUUCCUAUAUUGCAUAAUGUCAAAUAUGCAAAUUAAAUUAGCAUUUUAAAUAUAGUUGUUUAAAACAAAGUCAAUCAAAAUCAAGUUUUGAAAUCAUAAUUAUAAGUGCUUUAGAACUUUAUUAACAGAUCCCAACAUCUUUUAAAUAGUAUUUAUUUAAAUAUCAUAUAUUACAUACAAAUUUUUGUUGACAUAAUACUAGUACACUUGUACAUGUUAACACUUAUAAUAACAAUCUGUGUUUCCUGUUGAUUUUCUUUAAUUACAAUGUUUGCCUCGUAUGAUUUUUAUGACUAAAACAUCUUUAUUUUGAAUAAUCUUGUUGUAUAUAUAUACAUAUAUAUAACAAUAAUUAAAACAUAGAUUUUAUUUUAA